ensembl:lncRNA
ACUAAUUGUUGUUGUAUUAAAGCUUUUUAUUUUUUUACUCUUUAACAUUAGCCCUUGCAAAACCUUGUGUCCCAAUUUUCCCUCCCUUCCCCCACCCCCUCCCCUAGACGGCAAGUAGUCCAAUAUGUUAAAUAUGGUAGAAAUAUGUGCUAAAUCCAGCACGGGCAUACAUAUUCAUACAAUCACCGCCUAGUCACCAAGGGCUCCGUGACGUGCGGAGGCGAAGCCAGGACGUGCCCUGAGUCGGCCGGAAGUGCGGGAGGCUGGCAAGGCCGCCGGCCUCCCCUCCCCCCAGAGCCCUCCGGGUCCGGUGGCAAAUACAAAUCCGGGCGGCCGGAGGGCGGCCGCCGAUGGGUCCCAGGACGUCCCGCCGUGGAAGAAGUGACGGAGAGAAGGGACCGAGUGCCUCAUGUGGGGAUCAGAGACGGCCCCUUCCGCUAGGUUACAAAGGAGGAGAAUUAGGCCGCUGUUUGGGCCCUGACUGACUGAGACGGAUGUCACUUCUGCUUCGGCCAGAGCCCCCCUCCCAGAGCCACUUAUGUACCUAGACGUUUGGGGGCGAGGUGAAAGAGGCGGCCCUGAGUCCCCAACCUGGAUCGCCCGGUGGGCGCUGCCUCCGGCUGAGAAGAGGGCCGCUCCAACAGCCCGAGGCCUUCCCUUGGCCCCUGCCCGGAGCUGAGUCUGCGGCCCCGGGGCAGCUGCCCGCGGCGCCCCCGCGGGAGACGCGCCCCUCGGACCCCAGGCUGCAGGCGCGGGCCUCCUCGCCGCUCCGGAGGCGCCCCUUCCUUUCCCCCGCCCGGGCAGUGACUUCCCCGCUGACGAACGGCGCCCGGGAGCCUGCCGGCAGCGUUCCGAGUCCCCUGCCAGACUUGCAGUCUGGAAGCAACACCGUCCCCCAGCCUUCGCCUGUUGAGCUCGAACCGUGUUUAUAGAGCAAGACAGGACUCGGAUGCUAAACGUCUAACACCCGACGGGAGGGGGGGGAGAAGAGUAUAUGCACCCAAACUUUAGACUAUAGUCUGCAGUAUAACAUUUCUUAGAGUCUAGGCAAUCUACAGAGCAAUAAAUCUAGCCCUGAUUUGCAAUGGAUUUCUUUAUUUUGAACAGCUUUUUAUUUUUCCAACUACAUGCAAAGGUAGUUUCCAACAUUCAUCUUUGUAAAACCUUGUGUUCCAAUUUUCCCGCCCCUCCUCUCCACCCCCUCCCAUAGACCGCAAGCAAUCCAAUAUAGGUUAGACGUGUGCAGCUCUUCUAAACUUAAUUUCCAUAUUCGUUAAGGGCAGUGGGUUUCCUAGGUGUGAAUACUCACACUGAAAAUUAACAAUCAACUGGCUCUCUCUCAAGCUAGUUAAGAGUGGGCGCCAGCAGAUCCCAGGAGAAUCUCUUCUUCCUGAGUGGAGGAGUCAUCUUGUUGUUCAUUGAGGAGCCCGAAGAAAGUCUGCAAUAAUUUAGGUAGAAAAUAGAAGGGGGGAAAUGGCAAAAGAAAACAAAAUAAAGUUCCUUUUGCUUUUCAUCUAUAACGGAGGUGAUCCUCCUGGAAGCAUCAGUGGCUCUGGGAGUGAUGAUAGUUGUGU